GUAGGUGAACCUGCGGAAGGAUCAUUAAAAAGGAUACCGGGCAACCGGUAGACCCCACCCGUGUCUAUCUACUCUUGUUGCUUUGGCAGGCCGUGGCCUCCACCGUGGGCUCUGCCUGCGUGUGCCUGCCAGAGGACCAAACUCUGAAUUUUAGUGAUGUCUGAGUACUAUAUAAUAGUUAAAACUUUCAACAACGGAUCUCUUGGUUCUGGCAUCGAUGAAGAACGCAGCAUCUGACUGACUGUGACCU
rnacentral:misc_RNA from 1 species